rnacentral:ncRNA from 1 species
CUAUCAGGUGUCGCAAGACUUAAUAAGUAAGCAGGUGAAAGUCCUGCGCUGUCACGCAGCUGUAAAGUGGAGCAAAUCUAAAAAAUGUCACUGGGAAACUGGGAAGGCUAGAUUUGCGAGGAAACUGAGCCAGAAGAAUUGCCUUAGAUAG